AGUUAUUUCUGCAAGUCUUACCAGCACAAAGAUUGUUUUAGGUGUCAAGCGGCUGUGCCGUCCCCUUACCACCCUCUCGCCUUCAAAGGGUCGUUGCCCAGUAGGUGCAGGUACUGCCACAUGCAGGGCGGCCCAAGAAGGUGCAGCUUUACAGCUACCCCAAUCCAACCCAAUCCAAGCAGGGAGGCAUUGGGUUCCUUUUUUUUUUUUUUAGUAGUUUUUGGUAUGGCUCAGCCGGGGAUCGAACCCACAACCUCCCAGUCUCAGGGCGGAUACUCAUACCACAAGUCCACUGAGCUGAGAAAAAAAUGACAAAUUUCAC